CCUAACACAUGCAAGUCGAACGGGAAGCGGUGCAUAUUGCUUCGGUGAUAAUGUGCCGUGGAGAGUGGCGAACGGGUGCGUAACACGUAGGUAACCUGCCCUGAAAGGGGGGAUAACCACGGGAAACUGUGGCUAAUACCGUAUAAUCUCGCCGUGGCGGUGGUUACGGUGAGGAAAGCUGAGGCGAUUUGGGAGGGGCCUGCGGUCGAUUAGCUGGUUGGUGGGGUAAAGGCCCACCAAGGCGAUGAUCGAUAGCUGUUCUGAGAGGAAGACCAGCCACACGGGAACUGAGACACGGUUCCGACUCCUACGGGGGGCAGCAGUGAGGAAUAUUGCGCAAUGGGGGGAACCCUGACGCAGCAACGCCGCGUGGAGGACGAAGGUUUUCGGAUUGUAAACUCCUUAACUGGGGGAAGAGAGAGGACGGUACCCCAGGACGAAGACACGGCUAACUAGGUGCCAGCAGCCGCGGUAAUACCUAGGUGUCGAGCGUUAUCCGGAAUUACUGGGCGUAAAGGGUGCGCAGGCGGUGUUACAAGUCCGGCGUGAAAGCUUCUGGCUUAACUGGGAGAGGACGUCGGAAACUGUAGUGCUAGAGUGAAUGAGAGGGGGGCGGAAAUCCCGGUGUAGUGGUGGAAUGC
rnacentral:rRNA from 1 species